CGAACGCUGGCGGCGUGCUUAACACAUGCAAGUCGAGCGGUGAAGCCCUUUCGGGGGUGGAUCAGCGGCGAACGGGUGAGUAACACGUGGGCAACCUGCCCCUAGCACUGGGAUAACUCCGGGAAACCGGGGCUAAUACCGGAUACUACCUUUGAAGGCAUCUUCGGGGGUGGAAAGUUCCGGCGGCUAGGGAUGGGCCCGCGGCCUAUCAGCUUGUUGGUGGGGUAAUGGCCCACCAAGGCGACGACGGGUAGCCGGCCUGAGAGGGCGACCGGCCACACUGGGACUGAGACACGGCCCAGACUCCUACGGGAGGCAGCAGUGGGGAAUAUUGCGCAAUGGGCGAAAGCCUGACGCAGCGACGCCGCGUGAGGGAUGAAGGCCUUCGGGUUGUAAACCUCUUUCAGCAGGGACGAAGCGAAAGUGACGGUACCUGCAGAAGAAGCACCGGCUAACUACGUGCCAGCAGCCGCGUAAUACGUAGGGUGCGAACGUUGUCCGGAUUUAUGGGCGUAAAGAGCUCGUAGCGGUUUGUCGCGUCGGAUGUGAAAACCAAGGCUCAACCCUGGGCCUGCAUUCGAUACGGCAAACUAGAAUUCCGGUA
rnacentral:rRNA from 1 species